AGAAACACCAUUUCCCGUCCAAUCACUGAAGUUAAGCAAUGUUCAGCCUGGUCAGUAUUCAAAUGGGUGAUCACUGGGAAAUACUAGGUGCU